AAAAUAAAUUUUGUCUGCGUAAGACACCUUUUUUUGUGUCAUCUGCCUCCUACUUCGACCACUUUGGCCAGCUUCCCCACACUUGCCCCCGACCAAAAUAAUUCCCGGCAUGCAACGCGCGCUUUUGUCAACAAUGAAACUCUCUUAUAAGGACACAUGGGAAUAGAAAAGAAAGUUCUACCAUUUAAUGCUUAAAAUCACAGAGUAUUGUCUAAAGUAAAAGUGUUUUCUGUGAGUAUCGAGUCAAUUCCUCAGUGUCUAAAUACAGAAAUGUGACUCCCCUGCACACACAUACUCACCGUUCUGUGUUUUUGUGUUUUCAGUCAGAAGUAUAAGGCGGGUGAGUCAGACGCCGCGAAGCAGAGCACUCCUCAGCAGACCUCCGCCGAUCCUACAGGGUCCGGACCAGGACUCAGACCGGCCGGGAUCUUAGUCGUGUCUGUGCUCGUGUCCGCUGCAGUCCACCUCCUCACCUGAUUUGCCCGCUGCGUCUGGGAUGAAGAGGCCGGACUCACGACUGCUGUACACUUCCUGUUUACGCUCUCAUCGCCGUAGAAACGCCGCAUCCCUAAAAAGGCCUCUGAUCGGACGAACAUUUUGCGAACGACCGGCGGGACUCUUCACUUGACGAUCGGCUCAUAUUAAACUUCACCAAACGGCUUCUGCUGCAGCUCUGUACAACUCACAUUUAAUCCCGUUUUUCACUUUAAUUCUGUUGUUUUUAAACUGCAUUUCUAGACGUACUAACAAGUUUUUUACAAAGAGAUAUUUUCCUUAUGGCGAGAUAAAUAUUUUUAAAUCGAAAUGACAAUAAACGAUCUGAUAAUGUUGGUAAAUAAAUGAGUAAAUAAAUUAAUAGUAGCACAAAAAAAUAUAAUAAUAAUAAAAUAAAAUAAUAAUAAUAAAUCACAACUGAAAAACAAUAUUCCAGAAUUUUUUUGUUUUACUUUUUGCAUCUAGAAUAUUGUUAAUGUUCGCUAUUUUUACGGAAAUUUAUGAAGGCUUAUUGAACAAUUUCGUGAUAUAGAUAAAAAAUAUAAAAUAAAAAUAAUACAAAAAAAUACAUUGAAAAUAAUAUAAAUAUUGAAAAAAAAAGUUAUAUUUUUUAUUAUUAUUUUAUUGUUUUAAAAAUGCAUUCCGGACCAUUUUGUGUGAAAGCCAAAUAUCUGUUCUUUUUUUUUUUUUUUUUUUUUUUUUUAAAUUGCGCUGUGGACAAGUGUUAUAAAAAAAUAAACAAGAAUAUAUUUUUCUGCUUUAUUUUCCUUCUUUAGAUUUUUUGGAAAUGUUUUAUUUUUUUUUUGUGUCGAUAAAGUGACUCUGUGGUAAAGGUGAAUGUGUUUUCUGUGACACUGGCUUGUGCUUUGCUCAAAGGCGGAUUUGAACCCACACAAACUGCACCCGUUUUAAUGUUUCAUGCUGUUUUUGUGUUUUUGGACUUGAAAGAAAUAAACCUGACAUUACACAAACUCGUA